rnacentral:rRNA from 1 species
CUCUCCUACGGGGGGCAGCAGUGAGGAAUAUUGGUCAAUGGCCGGAAGGCUGAACCAGCCAAGCCGCGUGAAGGACGAAGGUGCCAAGCAUUGUAAACUUCUUUUGUCAAGGGACAAAAUCAGGCUCGAGAGCCUGACCGAGGGUACUUGAAGAAAAAGCAUCGGCUAACUCCGUGCCAGCAGCCGCGGUAAUACGGAGGAUGCGAGCGUUAUCCGGAUUUAUUGGGUGUAAAGGGAGCGUAGGCGGCAGGGCAAGCCUGAUGUGAAAGCCCGGGGCUCAACCCCGGGACUGCAUUGGGAACUGC